rnacentral:snRNA from 2 species
AUUGCUUCUUGGCCUUUUGGCUAAGAUCAAGUGUAGAAUUUCUACUUGGUUCUUUUACAAAAUUGUUACAUCGAUUUUUAUAUCUUCCAGUUCCC